AACAGGGAAGCCGGUCCAAGUCCGGCGCGGUCCCGCCACUGUAGCCGGGGUGAAGCACCCUCGAAGUCGUCGCCACUGCCGCGGAUGCCGCGGCGGGAAGGUGGAGGGUGCCUGGCGGAGCGACGCUGCUCCGCGGCCCCGGAAGCCAGGAGACCU
rnacentral:ncRNA from 2 species